ACACUCUCCCUGACUGACCGUGCCGGCUCUGCCAAGUCACAGUGUUCUGUGGCCUUGCUCAUCAUAGCACAGCGCCUUCAUCUGAGCACUUCUUGCUUUGUUCCUAAGGGGAAGUCCCAAGAAGUUGGGGUCAGGGUCAGGAGAGAAAAAGGGAAUGGCUCACAGUCAUUAUAGAUUCCCGGUGGUGAAUGAUGACCACAGCCCUGGGACAGACGAAGCUCCCAUCCUAAAUACAGGCGUUAAUAGGGCUGAAAUGCACUGACACCCCGAAUCUUAGAUAUUGCCCAUCCUGAGCUCAGAGGACAUUUCCAGUCAGGAGAUAUUUAAUUAUACAUGCAGUUUGCAGGUUCAAAGGGGGCUGAAACCCCAGGCUGUCCAAACUGUGAAGAGGCCUAAAGAUCGAUUAGUCCAAUCUUCUCAUUUGUACUGGAGGGAACCGAGUCUCAGGGAGGUGGAAUGACUUGCGCAACCCUGCACAGAGGUAAAACAGAACAAAGACCAGAACAAGGCUCUGGGACCAGUGCUCCUUCCUCCAGACCAGGCUCCCCAGACCAGGCUAACCUCCUUGGCCAAAGCAAGGAAAACAAGCCCUGGCCCUUAGGCUUGUGAGAUUGGAGAGAAGACCUGAAGAAAAGCAAGACUAAAGGAGAAUCUUACACGUCAGCCUUGUGCAGAAACUUCAAGUUGUAUUCAAAUAUUUCUGGCAAGCCAUUGUCAUUGCCUGGAAUGUUUCUAUCCAAAUCAUGUCAAGUCAAAACGUGGGCACCAGAAGCACAUUGGAAAACAGGUGCUAUCUGCUUUCUUAUUUUAAGACCCACGUGCUGCCCACAGGAUCUCUGGAUAAAAAUUUCAAUACAUCUCAGAAUAAGCAGCAACUUGUCUUGUUGAUCCGUCUUUCAAGCUUUUCCACCAAGACGGCAAUCUGCAUCCUAUUAGUAAUGCUUCUCCAAGUCUCCCAGCGCCUAGAAAUGAGAGCUUCAUGACUUUGGAGAGGACUAUAGCUAUCUAGUGACAUCACCCUUGAUGCUAUUCAGCAGCAGCUUUUCCUUCCCUGGAGAAGUGACUUGCACAAAUGACUUGGGGCUGUUAUUGCAGGAUCAAUGACCUGAAUAUAUGGGUGUAAAACUCCCCUAGAGAAUUGGAUUCAAGAGACUUGGAGCUUCCCAAGAAUCUGAAAGAAAUGGCAUUUAGGUUUUCAUGGCCCACUAGAGCCGGUUAAAAGGUCAGAAAUAAAAGGUUAUUGACCUGAGAGAUUUUCUUGAGAGGAGGAGGGCACCAGGACUGUGGCCCCUGGGUCCCUCCAACUCAAGGAUCAUAAAGGAGCCCACAGGUCACUGACUCCAGAGAAAAUGAAAGUGGAGAAACAAAUGGAAAAAAUCUACUCUGCAUUUUACUUGAUUUUUACUUGUUACUAGAUGAAGUUCUGCUUUCAGAAAGAAUAGACCAGCCCUGAAAUAAGCUGUAUCAGUCUGUUUUGGGUUUAUCAUCUAAAUUCAUAUUCUUUUAAUAAUUCCUGCACUGGGACUUCCUGGGGUCCACACAGUUGGGUUCCUGGUCUCCAAUUAAGUGAAGAACUGUGUAUCUGGCUGGUUCUCUAUUAUCUCCUAAAAAUUACCCCAUUGACUUGUAACUGGGAAACAGAGCAAACAAAAUCCUUCUUAGCUUUGAUCAAGACAAAAUGCCAAUCAUCUGAAACUGCAUUUGAAAGGGUGAAUGUGCAAUAGGAAGUGAACUAGUAAACUGGGCUAUGAAACUGGAGAAAAAGAAAAAAGAGAAAGUUCACCGAUCAAAAAACCAUCACAGCAAUUAAGACAAAACAUCUCCAGCCAUAACACUAGACACUCUUGUGGAAAGAUUAGCCUGUAGAAAGUGCAGUUGUGUGUUUCCUUAGCAUGUCUGAAAACACUCCAUUUCAGAAUAAUCAGGAGCCUGUGAAAAUGCCAUUCUCCCUCACAAUCCACAACAACCUGGAAAUGCCCCGUUCCUGGCAAUUUAUUACAACCAGCCUGAGCCAUUAACAUGCAGCUUCAUAGACUUCUUGGAGUUUGACACUGGUUGAGCUUGUUUUUCUGGUCCCCUGGAGCAAAAAACAAGCAAUAGCCAAUAGUAAUUUUACAUUUUAAAAUGUCCUUUCCGCUCCUAAACUUCUCCCCACAACCACAGUGCAAUACCUGAGCUCAUAUUUACAGGAGAAAUAGGAAAGCAGAUUUGACACAGCUCAGCAGCCAACACAUCACAGUGAAACAAUAAGGCCAUUGGUCAUGGAGAGUUGACCACCAAUGACUGGACUGAGACCAGAGAACAACUUUGCACAGGCCUCGGAGCAGCCAUUAAAUGGAAAUGACUUGGAGCUGAGUGAGGCCUGAAUCAAGUGACUUAUUAAGGCAUUUUG
rnacentral:lncRNA from 10 species